GAUGAGCGCUGGCGGCGUGCCUAAUACAUGCAAGUCGAGCGAACGGACGAGAAGCUUGCUUCUCUGAUGUUAGCGGCGGACGGGUGAGUAACACGUGGAUAACCUACCUAUAAGACUGGGAUAACUUCGGGAAACCGGAGCUAAUACCGGAUAAUAUUUUGAACCGCAUGGUUCAAAAGUGAAAGACGGUCUUGCUGUCACUUAUAGAUGGAUCCGCGCUGCAUUAGCUAGUUGGUAAGGUAACGGCUUACCAAGGCAACGAUGCAUAGCCGACCUGAGAGGGUGAUCGGCCACACUGGAGCUGAGACACGGUCCAGACUCCUACGGGAGGCAGCAGUAGGGAAUCUUCCGCAAUGGGCGAAAGCCUGACGGAGCAACGCCGCGUGAGUGAUGAAGGUCUUCGGAUCGUAAAACUCUGUUAUUAGGGAAGAACAUAUGUGUAAGUAACUGUGCACAUCUUGACGGUACCUAAUCAGAAAGCCACGGCUAACUACGUG
rnacentral:rRNA from 1 species